rnacentral:rRNA from 1 species
AGUAAGGAAUUUUCGGCAAUCGGGGGAAACCCUGACCGAGCAACGCCGCGUGAGUGAUGAAGGCCUUUGGGUUGUAAAAGCUCUGUUGUAAAAGGAAGAAUAUGUAAGAUAGGAAAAUGAUCUUACCUUGACGGUACUUUACUAGAAAGUCACGGCUUACUACGUGCC